rnacentral:rRNA from 1 species
UACGUAGGCCGCAAGCGUUGUUCGGAGUUACUGGGCGUAAAGGGUGUGUAGGCGGUCCCUUAAGUUUGUUGUGAAAUCUCCCGGCUCAACUGGGAGGGUGCGGCGAAUACUGAGGGGCUAGAGUGCGGGAGAGGAAAGUGGAAUUCCUGGUGUAGCGGUGAAAUGCGUAGAUAUCAGGAGGAACACCGGUGGUGUAAACGGCUUUCUGGACCGCAACUGACGCUGAGACACGAAAGCGUGGGUAGCAAACAGG